AGAGUUUGAUUAUGGCUCAGGACGAACGCGGGCGGCGUGCUUAACACAUGCAAGUCGAACGGAAAGGCCUGCUUUUGUGGGGUGCUCGAGUGGCGAACGGGUGAGUAACACGUGAGUAACCUGCCCUUGACUUUGGGAUAACUUCAGGAAACUGGGGCUAAUACCGGAUAGGAGCUCCUGCUGCAUGGUGGGGGUUGGAAAGUUUCGGCGGUUGGGGAUGGACUCGCGGCUUAUCAGCUUGUUGGUGGGGUAGUGGCUUACCAAGGCUUUGACGGGUAGCCGGCCUGAGAGGGUGGCCGGCCACGUUGGGACUGAGAUACGGCCCAGACUCCUACGGGAGGCAGCAGUGGGGAAUAUUGCACAAUGGGCGGAAGCCUGAUGCAGCAACGCCGCGUGCGGGAUGACGGCCUUCGGGUUGUAAACCGCUUUCGCCUGUGACGAAGCGUGAGUGACGGUAAUGGGUAAAGAAGCACCGGCUAACUACGUGCCAGCAGCCGCGGUGAUACGUAGGGUGCGAGCAUUGUCCGGAUUUAUUGGGCGUAAAGGGCUCGUAGGUGGUUGAUCGCGUCGGAAGUGUAAUCUUGGGGCUUAACCCUGAGCGUGCUUUCGAUACGGGUUGACUUGAGGAAGGUAGGGGAGAAUGGGAUUCCUGGUGGAGCGGUGGAAUGCGCAGAUAUCAGGAGGAACACCAGUGGCGAAGGCGGUUCUCUGGGCCUUUCCUGACGCUGAGGAGCGAAAGCGUGGGGAGCGAACAGGCUUAGAUACCCUGGUAGUCCACGCUGUAAACGGUGGGUACUAGGUGUGGGGUCCAUUCCACGGGUUCCGUGCCGUAGCUAACGCUUUAAGUACCCCGCCUGGGGAGUACGGCCGCAAGGCUAAAACUCAAAUGAAUUGACGGGG
rnacentral:rRNA from 1 species